UAACGGCCGCCGUUAGUAGCUGUGCUAAGGUAGCGUAAUUAGUUGUCCUUUAAUUGAGGAAAGGAAUGAAUGGUUUGACGUAAGAAUUUCUGUCUCAAAAAUAAAUAAAGAAGUUUUCUUUUCAGUGAAUAGUCUGAAGUUUUUCUAUUAGACGAGAAGACCCUAUCGAGCUUAAUAAAUAUUUAAUACUAUAAUAAAUAAAUUUGGUUGGGGCAACCUAGGAGGAAAAUUAGACUCCUAUAGUAUUUUAAGAUCCAAAAAGUUUGAAAAAAGAAAAAGCUACCGUAGGGAUAACAGCGUUAUCCUCUCUGAGAGAACAAAUUGAAGGGAGG
rnacentral:rRNA from 1 species